GACGAACGCUGGCGGCGUGCUUAACACAUGCAAGUCGAACGAUGAAGCCGCUUCGGUGGUGGAUUAGUGGCGAACGGGUGAGUAACACGUGGGCAAUCUGCCCUGCACUCUGGGACAAGCCCUGGAAACGGGGUCUAAUACCGGAUAUGACCAUCGGCCGCAUGGCCUGGUGGUGGAAAGCUCUGGUGGUGCAGGAUGAGCCCGCGGCCUAUCAGCUUGUUGGGGGGGUGAUGGCCUACCAAGGCGACGCCGGGUAGCCGGCCUGAGAGGCGGCCGGCGACACUGGGACAGAGACACGGCCCAGACUCCUACGGGAGGCAGCAGUGGGGAAUAUUGCACAAUGGGCGCAAGCCUGAUGCAGCGACGCCGCGUGAGGGAUGACGGCCUUCGGGUUGUAAACCUCUUUCAGCAGGGAAGAAGCUUUCGGGUGACGGUACCUGCAGAAGAAGCACCGGCUAACUACGUGCCAGCCGCCGCAGUAA
rnacentral:rRNA from 1 species